rnacentral:lncRNA from 1 species
UGGCGGGGGUGAACUGCUAAGGCUCCCCAUGGAUUUUUGUGUCAUGGCAGCUGGGACAAACCUGAAGACAUCUGGACACUUGGGACAACUUUCCUCAUUGAUAUACCUGAGGUGAUCAUUGCCACACCUGGAUUAUCACAGGGAUCGAACUCAGGUCCUUGCACUUCUGCAGCAGGCGAUGAAACCACUGAGCUAAAUCCCCGGCCCUGAGGUCUUGGAAAGAUUUUCCCUGAAAGCUUUACCUUCAAGGCGACCCAGCUCAGAGCAAGUAAGUCCAUCACUUAUCGACCUUUUGACUAAGAUCAAGUGCAGAGCAAGGCGAGCUGCAUGCGGCCUUCCCUGCAUACCCAGAAUGCCUGGGUCUCCAUUCAUGCUGACAUUGAGGCAGGGUUCCCCAGAAAGCAGUCAUUUCAGGGUUGGGCCAUCAACCACACCUCUGCUCAUUCUGCAUGCAACUGCCCCAGCUGUCUAGUCAUCACAAUUUGGGGUUAGGGGUUUGGUUCCAGAACAGCAAACAGCAGCAGCAGCAGCAGCCCCAGCAAUUACUCUUACCACAUAGCCCAAGAAUAUUCCCAGAGUUGUCCCAUCAUGUUCAAUAUCUAGGCCAAUGCUUUUAGCUGUAUUAUCAAGCUUACUGCCAUUUAUAGAUUAAAAAGAAAACACAAAAAAAACCAACCCUGGGGCUAGAGAUUGCAACGUGGAAGACGAGGAUUUAUGUUUGGGUUCAAUUUCUGUAUCUGUACAUUGGAAAUAAUACAUACCACUUAGGGUUGCUGACAGGAUUAAAUAAAUGCUACGUAUGUGUUUACUUGUUUAUUGCCUAUUUUCUGCUCUAGACUAUAAACUCCAGCAAGCAAAGGCCUUCGCUUGUUCAUUGCUCUCUUGACAGAGCCUGAAAUCAGUGCCAGGUACAUAGCAGGUGUUCAAUAAAUUCUUUUUUUUUUUCAUU